GAAAGUUCUGUUGUGAAUUGGUUCAAACACUUAGACUGCUUUUCUACUUCUAGAAAGAAGGCAGAAUCUAGGAUUUCUGCUCAGGGUGCACAUUACUGCAGAGGCGAGUGGCACUCCAGGAGCAUUUUGAUGACUUAUUUUUAUGUGUGAGCGAGUUGAUUGAAAAUCCUCCUAGCUCCCACUUUACCUGGCCAUUUGGUGCUUGACUUUUGUCUUUGAGUGGAGCAGAACUACUGAUGAUAAUGGCAGCAGUGACUUCAGUUAAAGAAUCCCAGGGACCACCUGAGACUUUCUGCAGCUCCGUGAUUUCAGCUUUAUGACCCUUAAUUGACAUUUCAAAAAGGCUUUCCUUACCAUGUGCUGAUUGAAAAAUAAAUAGUUUAGCAAAGAGAGGUCCUUCUUUCCAUGAAUUUGUCCCCACUGGCCACUUAAAUAGUGUGUGUUUAGGUGAAGUACCCUUUACUUCUGUGGGAGGAAACAAAGACUUUUUAAAACCACAUUAUUGCUGCAGCCCCAGAAGCUGAGAAGAAAGAGAACAGAUGGGUGGCUCUUCUCAAAGAAUGGUGCCUUCAUCUGGAUUUCCUCUUCUUAAACAUUUAUCUUCUUGUUCCUUGAAGGCUUUUAGGAAUUAUUAAUUCCACAGUGGCUGCAUGGUAACUGUUGAUUAGUGGUGGCUUAUUUUGGAUUUUCAAAGAAGUCUCUGAUCUACCAAAGCAGCACAGAGAGUUCAGAAACUAGGAGGUAUGGAGAAGGCCCCAGCUACUAACAUCAUUAGGAAUAAAGUUUUUGCUUUCCUUCAUAGCUGGAAAUCUCGCUCCUCUGGCUCAGAAAAAUAAAGGGCUCUACCUCUCUUGAGAACCCUCAGCACCUAGGACAAGGAGAAACUUAGUGCUUCCAGUGGAGGGGGCUGGUGACAUGAAGUCUACAAAGUUCCCAAGAGAGGACAAAACCUGAGAGCAUCAGCAUGUCUCAUGCAAACUUCCUCUGCCCCUGGAAAAAACUCUGGGGGAUCCAGGCAGGAGAAGAGAUAAGCUGUGGCCCACAUGGCUCCCUGGAGAGAAAGACAGCUCUGCUCUGGUUUACUGGGCUAACUGGAAGACAGCAUUCCCAGAAAGGCUAUUAUGGAGCAGAAUUGUAGCAACGGUGUUCUUUCCCCCAGCUAGUGGAGCUGAGCUUAUAAUGCAGCUCAGCCUUCAGCACAUGCAGAGAUCCACCAACAGAAAAAGAAGGGCCCUUCUAAUGUUUGUACAGUCCAUAAAUCAGUUCUCUGGUGGAGACAGCCUCACCCUUGUUCUUUUGGUGGUCUUUUCUUUUUUACCCGGUACCUUAACCAGGAACUGACUUGUCUUUGCUCACUUACCUUAACUUGAAAUAUUAUCUUAUAUGUUCUUCCUGUGGUGGAAGAUUGAUUUUUUUCCAUCAUUCUCUUCUCUAAUACCUCUUCUUCAUUAUUUUCUAUUGAAUGCCAGCUCCUUUCCCUCUUCUCAAGAAGAGGGAAAAGACACAUGUCAUAACCAUUUUCCCUAUUGAAGGAAGCUGGCAGUUUUAUAACGUAACUCUCAUUACAUUCCUAAGACAGAGACUGGGAUGGGUGUAGUGCAGUGGUCUUCAAACUUAUUUUUUAAACAUUCACAAUUUUCUUUACAAUUUUUUGAAUUCAUCUCUUAGUUACAAAUUCAUUUAUUUGUAAGUUAUACAUAGUUGAUUAUACUAAUCUGUGCAUUUAAAAACACAAAAAUAAAACAUUUAAAUAGUUGAGUUAAAUUUGAAAUAUAUAAUAUUAAUUUUUUAUCAAUUUUAGCUAGUCUCUUACAUCACUAUAUAUCAUCAAGGCAAAGUUCAUCAUUAAUAAUAAUGGAAGUAAAUGUGUAAUUGUUUCAGCUCACAGUGUAGCCGAUAAAGAGAUUGUUCUAGCAGGAAAAGUAAUAGGACUUCCACUUUUUGGUUGUUUGCUUGUGCUUGCUUUAUGAAGAGUCUCUUUAAUUUGCAAUUUCUCACAGGAAUCUUUUUAAGCCCCUCAUUCCUUUUAUGAUGGUUAAUGUAAUAAAAACUAGAUAAGAUCAUCUGUAAACUUAUGUAGACAGAUACAUGUACAUUAUUUUUGUCUUAAUAUUCAAUAUGCUGAAAGUGCAUAAUGUGUGAGGUUCCCUACUGUUAAUGGCCCUGGGCCAUAGAUUCACACUCAGGAAAGCAUGUGUACUGUAUGUGAAAUGAAUCCAUCUCAAAUAGGCUCUGAGUGUAUCAUUGCCAAUAUGCACAUUACAUAUCUGUAAACCUUAUAUUUAUUAUGUUAUAGAUACAAAUAAAUAAAAUGUUAAGUAUUUUCUUCCCAGUCCAAUGAAUCAUUUCGCACAUUCAUCAAUGUGUGGACAGCCUAUAUUAAGAACCAUCACCGGUUUAGUGAAUGUGUAAGAGACUCUUAGUGAUCCACCAUUAUCUCACUUGGAAACCCUAAAAACAACAGAUGCCAUAUGAUCA
rnacentral:lncRNA from 1 species